AACGAACGCUGGCGGCAUGCCUAACACAUGCAAGUCGAACGAGACCUUCGGGUCUAGUGGCGCACGGGUGCGUAACGCGUGGGAAUCUGCCCCUCGGUUCGGAAUAACACAGAGAAAUUUGUGCUAAUACCGGAUGAUGACUUCGGUCCAAAGAUUUAUCGCCGAGGGAUGAGCCCGCGUAGGAUUAGCUUGUUGGUGGGGUAAUGGCCUACCAAGGCGACGAUCCUUAGCUGGUCUGAGAGGAUGAUCAGCCACACUGGGACUGAGACACGGCCCAGACUCCUACGGGAGGCAGCAGUGAGGAAUAUUGGACAAUGGGCGAAAGCCUGAUCCAGCAAUGCCGCGUGAGUGAUGAAGGCCUUAGGGUUGUAAAGCUCUUUUACCAGGGAUGAUAAUGACAGUACCUGGAGAAUAAGCUCCGGCUAACUCCGUG
rnacentral:rRNA from 1 species